UACGAAGGGGGCUAGCGUUGCUCGGAAUGACUGGGCGUAAAGGGCGCGUAGGCGGAUGGCACAGUCAGAUGUGAAAUUCCCGGGCUUAACCUGGGGGCUGCAUUUGAUACGUGUUGUCUAGAGUGAGGAAGAGGGUUGUGGAAUUCCCAGUGUAGAGGUGAAAUUCGUAGAUAUUGGGAAGAACACCAGUGGCGAAGGCGGCUACCUGGACAGGUACUGACGCUGAGGCG
rnacentral:rRNA from 1 species